ensembl:antisense
CGGCCGCCGCGGCUCGAAGGCCGUGGGGACCCCAGGCCCCAGGGGAAAAGAAAGAGAAGAGAGAAGAGAGGGCGUCAGCGAGGGCCAGGGCGCGGGCGGCCGGCACAGAGAGAGAAACAACAGCCUCACACCCAAAUCGGUUCAAUUGGCUUUGGCGGAGACUACGCGGGCCGGGCCCGCCCGCCAGCCGGCCAGCGCCUGCGCUUUAAGCGGGCUGCGGCUCGGAUGCCCUGGGCACCCCACGCGCGGGCUCUGUGACUUUGGGUUUUGGUCUUUUUGUUUCGUCUUAAGAAACCAAACGGAACAGAAAGGAAAGGAAAUUGAAAAGAAACGGAAUUUUUUUUUUUCUACUGGUUUAAGGCUUUAAAAACAUACAACAGCAGCAUUUAAACAAACCUAACAACAAUAUCUUUUAGGGUUUUUUUUAUAUAUAUUUCUUUUUGCUUUUUUUUUUUUNNNNNNNNNUUAAAAAAGAAGAUAGCAUACCACGGAAUUCAGGCAACUUACAUCAACAA